ensembl:lncRNA
GGCACAUUGAGUUCAUAACCUUAACCACCUUCUAGAGAUCCACUGUAAUUUAUGUCAGUGCCUAAUGGUCACCUUAUCCUCUGAGAGCAGUACUUCUUGAUUGAAUUGUAUUUCUUAUGAUAAACAACUCCUUCUGUGAGAAUAACCACAUCCUUUUCCAGGGAGAAGCAGGAAAAACAGCCAGAAGUGAAGGAAAGAUGGAGCCAAGGUGGAUGCUCCGUGCUGCUGACAUCAUGAGCAGAGCUGCCCCAGCCCUGGGGACGUCCCUCUGCCCUCAGCACCGCAGCAGCAGCGUGGGCUUUGCUGGUUCUCCUGGCCCUUUUCUUCCUUACCCAGGAAAACAGCUCAGGCCGUGGCUCAGAAAGAGCCUCUCGUUGCCUCCCAAUUAAUUGCGCAGCCGAGUCUGUGCUCUUUGAUGUCACUGCUGUGAGCGCUGAUAAAAUUUGAGGAGCUUUAGAGCAUGGAAGUUGCCGCAGACAGUUUUUCUUGUUGCUUGUGUGUCAAUACCCUAUCGAGUCAGCAAUUAUCCUAAACACUUACUGCAAGCCAAUGCAAAAUAAAGGAAAAUUUUCUCAGUAAUCAUUUUUUAUAAGACUCUUCCACUGCAUCCCGCUCCCCAUGCAAAUUCAUGUGUGCUUGCUGGCUCUUAUAGAAUUCUUGGAAUUACUGUGCAGAAAUGUUCUUACAGCCAGACACUCCAAAAACUUCAGCAUUUGGACAGGAAGGACACGUCCAUCCACAGACACCUAUGACCACACAGCGCCCAGCACCACCAGCAGAAUCUGCCAUUCUGCACGAUACUGCAUCCUCUGACAUUUGCAACAGCAUGGCUCUGCAACACGAUGGAAAAAAGGUUCUGCAUUUACAAAUGCCACAGGAGUGAAGAUGAAGCAAGCAAGCACUGGCACCCAGCUGUUGGAACCAACAGCACCACGGAGCAGGGGGCGGGGGCCAGGAUUAGCAUGCUGCUCACACGCUCACCGCCUUCUCUAAUCACAAUGCAGGCAUUAUCAGCGAGCGGCGAAUCUUUGUAUUAUUUCCAAGUUUCCCCUAUUGUCAGUCAUUGUGACAAAGCGCAGGACGAUCUGACACAAUGAUGAAUCACUCCCGACAUUGAGUUUUCACGGGGCUGUCAGGCGAUCUCAGUAGGCUGCAUCACCUGGAAAUGCCACAGGAUUCAAACACAAGAACAAAAGCAGAGUUUGGGAUCAACUCCGCUGACUCGGGAUAUGAACAGGGGAGUUGGAGGGCUGACUCGGGGUCUUCUCAUCCACACAUCUCUGUGUUCUUCCGGCGUGAAUGAAACCGCAGGGCUUAUUAAAACAUCCAGCAUGCAAAUAGGAGGAUAGGUUGCUUAGGUUUUUAAAUUAAAUUCCUGCAUGAAUGGAUUCACACUGUGCUCACUUAUUACAGUACUCUGUCCAAGAUGCAGCUCCUAUCAGAUCAUAGGGUGUUUUAUCCUGACAUUUUGGGCUGUAUAUGCAGAAAUGAGCUUCUUUCCAUUCCUUUUUCCUGCCUGGCAAAAAUAUCUCACAGGCUUUUCAUCCUCUAUAAAGCUGGUAAGAUGGAACAGUGCCGGCAACUGAAUGAUGUAUAGUCAAAUGCAAACAUGCAUGUUUAAGUACAUGCCUUGCCUUCUUGUGUGUUUGCUUGUUGGUGCUAUUGUAAGUCCAGCCCAGAAGAACAUUGCUCUCUCCCACAUUAUUAUUCACAAAGGCAGCUUUCUGAGUUAUUUCUGUUCCUGCACAAUAUUCAUGAUAGCAAUUUGAUACCUUAGCAGUUUCAAGGUUAUCAAGUGAUUGAAAAUCCUACUGCUUACUUCAAGGUGUAACAUAUAAACUCUACUGCCAUCCAUUCUAGCAAUAUAAUAGUUUUUCUUAAUGCCUUUCAUGAACCGCUGAUUUAAAGUAUAAGCGAACUUCAGAAAGGGCUUAUCAGACCCAGACUCCAUCGGUGCUGUUUGCAGUGGAGUGCGGUCCCUUGAGUUUGUAUCGCUGUGUGUUGCACUUGAGCAAGCAAUAUUUAAUCUCCUUCCAAGAUAUCGAUACAUCAGCUCCAGAAUGAGGACAUUAAACUACAGUCAUAAUGAGAAAUAAAGAAGUGGUUAUUCAGCUCGUGUGCCGAAAAGCCAGCACUCCUACAAGGAUGAAUCUGCAGUGAGAACUGCAGGUUGUAGAUCGUGGCACUCAACUUUGUGCCAAAGAGCCAUUGGAUCCAGCAGCACUGGUAACGAUGAACAGAUCGCUGCAUGCUUAGUGAAGGCACUGAAGAAAAGGCUAUCAUUUCUCAACCUGUUUUGGAGGCUCCCAGCCACCCACCCAAGUUUGGCCUUGGAUGCAGUUUGGAUGGUUUGUGAUCAGUGGAUGGUGUUGCUUGAUGGAGUUUACAUGGCAGCAUCAGCUUAAGUAACAGAUGUUCAUGCCACUAAGGUGCUAUGUUCCUGCUUUUUAUAUAGAGAGAAAUUGCUUUUUGAAGAGUUUUUAUUGUCUUUAUGCAAAUUAAAAGACAAAAUUCCUCUCCUUAAAGGAUCCUCAUUAUAACAAGAAUCUUAAAUAAUCAUAAAUACAUACACAGCCCCAUAAAAUCUUUUGCUCUUUGGAUUUCAAGGAAGUUCCUUCUGCACUGUCAAUUGUGCAUGAAAUUAGUUCUUAUUUCAACUACCAGUAUGAAGACACUUGCUUUCAUUCAGCAAAGCCCCACUGGAUUUCUAAACAAAUAGUGCAGAAUAGUUGUUUGUGCCAAAGUAUUUCAAGGAGGAAAUUUUGCAUUCUGUUUUUCACGCAGUGCUGAAGAGGAAGAUAGAGCUCUGUACUUAUUCCCUAGAAGCCUAGUGAAAGGAAUAUAUAUGCUUUUUAUCUUUCCUUUGCCAGCUUUCUUUAGUAGACAAGUGCGUGAUGUCUUUACGGAUGCAUUUUUUUUUUUAACCAGGGAUUGAAAACUGUGAAGAAAUCAUACCCAGAAAGUGACACCCAGAGAUGCCAGCUUGCUCAGGACCAAACAUUAAGAUAACCAAGUCCUUGCAUUCUUGGUUCACCUCAAAUAACUUUGUGUCAGAUGUGACUUGAGUCCCCCCACAGCAAUAGACUCCCCAUCCAUUUUGAUUAUUUCCAGGGGCAAAGAAGGAAGAACUUCCUCAUUUACUUACAUAUGAAUGAAGUCAGCAUUCCAUAGUAUGGCACCAUCAGGAAGGACAAAAAGAAGAGCUGGUAAGGGGAUGCUUGGUCCCCAGCAAGGUGAUACCAGACCCUGAGACAGGUGAGACUGCAGUGCAGCAGGAUUCCUGGAGAUUUUCUCCUACAGGCUACUUAUUGUGGGACAGCAGCCUCUGAGCUAGACAGAGCGAGCAAUCCCUCAUGAGGAAGGAAACAAAGAUAUGCUAAAACCAGCCUAGGACAUCUACCAGCCACUCUCAGGCCCUUUGCAGAAAAAAGGUGUGCAUUUCAAUCAGCAUUUAAAAACACCUGCCCAUCACCUCCCCCCAAUUCAGAACAAAUUGUCCCCAGCUGCCACUUGCAAAGACCAUUUGGGUAUCUUCAUUUCUUCAGCUCUUCUCUCCUUUUGUGUGGGCUUAACCACUGUUAAAGCUGUGAGGAGCCUGAGAGAAAUGGCUGAGAUCUCUUGGAAUGGGAAGCUUCAUGUCUGGUCUCAUCAUGUGCUGGUUUUGUCCUUUUGGAAUAUGCUGCACUGAGGGAAAAUAAAUAAAAAGAGAAAGUAAGGGUAGCAGAAAUGUGACUCCCCACCAGUGGGUUGUGAUGCUUUAGGAGACAGAAGGCAAAGUCUGCUCAGUGUUUCUAUGGGCAAACCUUAUUUUAAAAAGGCGUUUCUGAUGUGACCUUUUCUUAACAAUAUUUCUUCGUAUAUCUGCCUGGUAGCGCGAGCAAAGAGGAGGUGGAUGUGCAUUGUAUUAUUAACCUGGUGGCAACAGCAUUAAUAACAUAGAAGAGUGCUUUAUUCUACUGCUAGCACUUGCAUCUGUUUCACAAACAUUACCAAGAUAAUCACAUUCUUCCUGCAUCUGCUUUGCUUUAGCUCACACAGAUAAUUCAAGGGUAAUGCACCUUGUCUAAGCUAAUUUUAAAAACAUGCCUCAAACACAACAAAAAGUGCUUGGUGGGUAUUUUGUCUGAAUGCACUACAUCAAAAUAACCAAGUAAGCUGUAAAUAUUUUGAAUAAGCUUGGUCAAAAGUCGGCAUUUGUCCAGCCAUGUUUCUGACUUGCAAGUUUUGAGAUUUAGCCCUGUGGGUCCAAGUUGCUAAGGUCAGUGAUGCAGACAUCAGUUCCUGAAAGGCAGAUUCAUAUAGAGAAUAUUUGAAAAUGAUGAUAAAUUAGGCAAAAUUAAUAAGCAUAGUAAAUGUUGUACUUAAUAAAAGUGGAAUGUUGUUCACUGUAAAUCAACAACAGGUCACAUCCCUGAAGAAAGCUUUGAAUCCUUGCUGAAUCUGUGCUUGUUGCACACCAGAUAUAUCAAGUCCUGGUUUGUCUUUGGAUGAUUAAAAACCACUAUUAUCAACAGCUCCUGUGAGGUAUUGUGGUCAUGCAAUGAUCUGAGGUGUCAGAAGCUUGAAAUGACUCCAUUAGAGCUAGGAAUGAAGAGAAUUUAUGAAGGCAUCAUUAGCAUUUUCUUUCCAAACUACAUGCAAAUUUCCUUGCAGGAACAUAUGCUGCAGUUGCAGCUAAGAGGAGUCUUCUCCUCAACACUGGCUAUGGCCUGUCAUCUUCCAGAAACUGUGCCAUAUGGUCCAGAUAGCUCGUAUCACACUGAGCAUCAUUCCAUUCAUAAGUUUGACUUGUCAUCAUAACAGUCAGUUUUAAAUGCUACUUCUCCCAGUAAUUAGUAUUAUAAUUGCAGUAUUAUUUCAGCAUUAAAAUAAAAAAAAUUAACAUCAUUCACAUUUGUGUUAUUCACCAAUCAGAUUUGAUUAGAAAAGUUUAGCUUGCAUUUGAUUGAUGUCAUAUUGAAGUGCCCACUAACAUAAAAGAUCAAAGAAACCUGGAUUUUACAACCAAACCUUGAAUUUCUACAGCCAGGAAAAUCCCUCCUAAAAUAAAACCAACCUGUGUGUAGCAGUCCAAUAUUUGUGCAUUUGGAAAUUCAAGAUUUCCAAAUAGCAGGCGAUUUUUCUUCAUCCUUCAGUGCUAUCAUUUGCCCAGAGAGGCGGUGGGUGCCCCAUAAUGGAGACACUCAAAGUUGGGCUGAAUGGGGCUCUGAGCACCUGACUGAGCUGUAGAUGUCCCCAUUCAUUGCAGGGGGGCUGGACCUGUUGACCUUUAAGGGUCCCUUCCGACUCAAAUAGUAUUCAAAUUGUAUUCAGAUGUUGACUAAAUCAUGCCUGGGACUGCUGGUGCUGUAAGUGGGAACUGGCCAGCAGGUCCAAGGAGGGAAAGGCUGAGUCCUCUGGCAACUUGUAGGAGAGAGAUUUUAAAACGCCUUGUUGAAACAUGCACAGAAAAACACUGCCCUGUCAUUGGGGAUAAUAGGCAACAAAUUGAUACAGUCAUUAGGGAACUGAAAAUGAGAACUACAGGAAACAGCAAUUAAGCAAUUUCAAGCCUAAAUCAUAACAGCACAAGAGAAACUCCCCAGAUGCCUUUGCAGCCUUUCAAAUAAUCACUGGGUAAGUUUUGCCAGGAAAAAAAAAAGAAAAAGAAAAAAAUGGAAAAAAAGAGCAAAAUCAAUGAGAAUAUUCAGGAAAAUACAGGACUGCAAAAUCAAAUUAGGUGAGGGGAAAUUCCCAAUGGAGAGGAAAGGAAAGGAUAUACGAGGGCUACAUGGUCCCCACGCACCAUGUGGCUGCAGCCCCAUCCCCAGCCAUGCCCAGUGCCCACCCAGGGACCUCCUCAUUUCAGGCAUUCUCUCUGCCUGGUGAUGAAGACAUACUGGGGUCUAGUAGGCAUGGUAUUACCUGUGGUUACUUUGGUGAUGACCUGAGCAGAUGCCACAGCGUUGUUCUGUUUAUCGACUCCAUGAUUCAAGACCAUGGUGCGGAGAAGGGGCUGGGCAACCCUUCAUCUUUAAUGGUGUAUGCAGAAUCUAAUCCUAACUGUACGAAGUCCCAAAUCUUAACUGCAGGUAGUGCAAUCAGCUGAAUAUCUACUUCUCUCCAUUUGCAUGAUUAAUUGACGUCUUGUUAACUGCUCUUUAGGGACACCACAAAUCAGCACAGUACAAAGUAAACACAUAGCAACAGAGAAGAGGGCACGUAAUUGUGAAUUAUCCUAGGAACAAAAUGGGGUUUUAAAACCCAUUUCAAGAGUCAGUCCAUGCAGCCUGCAAGGUGAGCUGGAAGAUAGAAGGAGAUAGAACUUGGUGAAGAGGAGGCAGCCCUGGUGGGUUCCCGUGCAUUCUGUCUGGCCAGUGAUCUGAAGAGCUUUGGAUCUGUAGGAACUGUGUUGGGAAGAGGAUUGUGGCAGAGGCAAUGACUGCAGCUCCUCCUGGCAUGGGUAGGAUGAGCUCAGCAGUGCACGGGGAGCUACAACCAUGCAGCUCCCUGUACACACCUUCUGUCCUGCCUGGCCCAACGCAGUGAUGACAGCAGGCUUUUUUCCUCCCUGUUGCAGCCUGGCAGCUCUGGUGGGAAUUGUGGUCAUUUUCUUUGCAUGUAUGGCAGAGUAAUUUGUUUUCUUUCCUGUGUAUUUCGUAUUGCAGCAGCAGAAUGGACGACUGAUCAAGGGAGAAAGAGAGAGAGCUACAGCAGUAUUUUUCCAUUUUAUUUAUGGUGACACCGUGUAGCAAAAUAUAAAAAUAGAUCUCAGCACUGACAGCUUUGCUGCCUCCUGCUGUUGGGAUGGCACAGGGAGCUCCAUCUCUGCAUGGGAUGGGCAAAGGCCUGGGCCUGGCAUGGGGCAGCUCUUGGGAGAGCAGAGGUGAGAGCAGAAUAGCCCACAAUUUAUGGCUUAUUUCUACCCGAGGAGAAGGCUCAAGCUAAAUAUUGCUGUCCUGGUACAGAAUUUAAAGUCACAGACAGAUUCUGUGAAUGGUGAGGGAGAAGAAAGGGAACUGGAGAUUCAGCAAAAUCCCCCCAAAGAACAAUGUGAGCGAUAUUAUAGCUGAAAACGGAAAUAUUCAGCUUCUGUUGCACCUUGUCCUGAACAGAAUAAUAGAAUCAUGGAAUGGCUUGGAUUGGAAGAGACCUUAAAGAUUAACCACUUCCACCCCUGCCAUGGGCUAGUUGCCCCCCACCAGCUCAGGCUGCCCAAGGCCCAUCCAACUUGGCCUUGAUCACCUCCAGGAAUGGGGCACCCACACAGCACCCUAUUUACAUGAGAGGUGAGCAACGAAUCAUGGUUUUUAAUCAGAAAACGUGCUGAAGGAGAUGAGGGACGUUUCAAAACCGAUGGCCAGUAGGAACAAUGGUAUUUAACCAUAAGGAUUUAUGUUUUCUCUUGCACACACUGGUGGAAGCAGCCUUGACGCCCAUUUCCAUUAACACUGCAGAUGUGAGGCAUGCCAUGCCACACUUGGCUUAACUUCAGAUGUCCUCGAGGGACUGCACAGGGGAGCGACUUUGAUGGAUCGCGGCUGCUCUUGAAACUGAGCUGGGAGAGAUUAGUGUGUCUCAGGCAGAGAGGCUCUUCUCACGUGUUCUGGGUUUUUUUUUUUUUUUUUUUUUGUUCUGAUGAGAUAAUUUUUCUAAUUAACCUCGAUAACAUUUCCAGACACACAGGCCUAUCUCAUGUAGAGGGAAAUACAUUUUCAAAUGGACAUUUCUCCCUUGCCCGUGUUUGCUUGUACUGACUGCUGAGUUUUAACACCUUGGCUGCCAAGUGGUAGAGAGGUGCCAUUCAUUGAGUCCUAAAGAUAUUUAUCGUGAUGGUUCACAAAAUAAUUUGCAAAUAAUUUAGGCUUGGUACCAUGUACCUGUUUUUUUUUUUUUGCUCACCAGGUAAUGCAGUUUUGAGAAUGUAUUACACUUUUCCAGAAUACUUUGGAGAGGAGCUUUGUUUCAUUUUGUUUGAUUUGGAAGCACACAGUCUUUCUACCUUGUCAGCCUUUGCCAUAACUUUUAAAGGACACAGGCAGAGAAAGAACAGAUGGAAAUCAUGAUUGCUUACUUUGAACAUUGCAAGAAAUGCACAAUGCCUAUAAGGUCUCAUCCAACUUAACGGGAGGACUAUCAAUCUCCUGUACUUAUAUUGCCUCUGUUACCAUAGGAUCAGAGCACCUCAGCAACUUUCAGGGAUUCAUCGUCAGGACUAAGUGAGUUGGGGAAGUGUAUUUUUCCCCAUUUAAUUGAGGCAGAGAAGUAAUUUUUGUGCUCUACAAGCUCACACACAGAGAUGGAGCAGAGAUCUGAACCUGGGUGUUCCAAGUCCAUUCAUUGCCCUGAUGGCAAGCAAACCCCACAUGCUGAUUGGGCGUGUUCUGGAUCCAGCCCACCCCAACAGGCAUAUGUGGCUUCACAUUCCAAACAUAGCAAGCUAUAUGGCACCAAGCACCUUAAGCACUAAGUGUAAUGAUCAAGUGAGCUGUAAGAUCCAUCUAGCCAUUUUACAUGUUUCAGCAUAUCCAAAGUCGGCUCUGAGGAAGCUGAUCUCAGGAAAUUACAAAGGCUUAUAAGAACCACACCAAAAUCCACGUGAUUUUUCUACAGCUCAAUAAAGUAGCUUUGUCCCUCUCAGAUGAAAUGCAUGCUAAUUACUGAAUGGGAUAUGAAGGAAAAAACAUUGACAAAGAGCCUUUACUGCCUGUAAAUAAAAUGACCUGUGCAACGGUCAGCCUGCAUCAAAUCAAGUGUCAUGAGCAUCCCUGGGAGUGGUUGCUUCUGAAACAAGAGGAAAAAGCAUUGGGCCUGAAAAUAAAUGCAAUAUUUUAAACAAUAUGUAGGAUGGAAACUGAGAUUUUGGAAGUAAGAGCUUGGGUGAUUGUUUUGAUUUUUGAAGGAAUAAAACUGGGAAUAAUACAUGGAACACUCAUAAAACAUCUAUCUAUAAAUCUAUUAUGCAUACAGUAAUGGAGGGCAAUUUGGGGUCAUUUUGAGUGAUAUAUUUAUAACAAUAACAUAGAUAUUCACUUGAAGUAGUUGUGUACUGCAUCCAGUGCACGUGUCAUUUCCAGGAACUAAUAAAGAUGGUGUGAAGGGCUUAGCUAUGGGGAUUGAAAUAGUAAGGAGAAUUCAGAAAACAUAGUUAAAGAACUUAAAAAGAACAUCUGAGAAGAUGAACCUUUUGAUAGGAUUUAAACUGCCUAUGGGAUUCAAGAGCUUUAAUCAACAAAAGCAGCUUAUUCCAUCAACGUCGUGAGCAAGAGCGGAAAAGGCAUCAUCAGAGAAGAGGGCUGUAGAAAACAAUUUCUUUGGUUUAAAAGAAAGUGUUUGCAGAAAUCUGAGAGCCCUCCUUUUGUCUGAUGACCAUCUGGAUGGUUUUUGCCUUGGAAAGCCUGUCCUGAACUUGAAGCAAACAAACAUUUGUUCACAUGGCAGGAAAGAAAAGAUUGAAGCAAUGUGCCAGAACUAGAAAAGCCGCUCAUGCAUAUCAGUAAUGUUUACCUAGAGCAAGAAAAAUGUGCUUUUCAUUUCUGGGACAUUAUCUUUAGUCCUCUUGCAAAGGUCUGCUUGACCACUCUGCAGUGCAUAAAGGUGGGGGAAAGAUAUUUAAUUUUUUCCAUAUGCAUUUCUGAUUUCUGUAACAUACAUUUCCAUUCAGGAUCUGUUACCAGAAGACCCUGGAGAGGUCUGAGGUCUUUAAUUUUUAUGCUCCUUGAUGAGGUUUUAGCCCCCAUUCAAGCAAUUGGCACAGCCAAUCCUUAGGGGAGUGGUGCCCCCAGCCCAGCACCCAUGACAGUUGCUGGCAUGCUCUGCAGGACUGGCACACAGCAAGGUGAUGGGGCAGAUGGCUCUUCUGCACAGGGCCGGGUGGCCAGAGCCCGAGCCUAGCCAUUUCUAGCAGCUGCUGCCACAAUGAUGGACCCAAACCAUCAGCUGGUACUGGCCCUAUCCAAGGCCUAUAAAGAGGGAUGGAUGGUAAACUCUGUAAUGGGGAGGAAGAGUGCAAAGAGGCAGAAGUGUUUAUUUGCCUUUUGGCUGUAUGGUUGGCUUUGGGUGGCACUGUUUUGGAUGGACCCUGGACAGCUCUGUCCCUGUGCUGCAGUUUAUACUCCCAAAUGAGCUGGCAGGUCAGGAGCUGGUUGUUUCCCAUGUCAAGCUAUUCAGCAUCACUGGCUGUUUCUUUACUAAAUGAAAUCUCUCAUGCCCUGCAUCAAAUAAAAUGAGUGACUGCUAAGAAUAUGUACAUCAAACUAAUCUUGAGCAACUAAUCUUGGUGCUCUGUGGCAUUCCCAACUGCCAGAUUUUAGUAGUACUCUGGACCCACUUCAUCCCAUGCACAAAGGUGGGAGAAACGCUCUAUUUCUUAUUUCUUCCUUUCACAGCCUUGAAAAAGGUCUAAGUAACUGUCAUGGUUUUCUAAAAUGUCACCUAACGUCAUCUCAGAGGUUUAUAAUUUGCUAAUACAAGAGCUUUGGGUUAGUGCAUUUAUAAGAAUCCACAUUUAUGGUCAAAGGUUGGAAUAUUUAGGAAGGGGCCGUCCUCCACAGAGGACACAGACAAACUACCUGCAUGGUCAGUUCAGCUGUGCGCUACCAUUGCUCCAGCAAAAAGAGAAAAGCAUUCCCUGAUGAGCACCAAGUGGUUCAAGACUACUUUGUUACUACACUUUUGGACAGUGUAAUAUGCAUUUUUUUUUUCCAGUACAGCUAUACCUAAAGUUCAGGAUGAAACCCCUCCUUCUUGAAGACAGUAUUAGUUUUAAUUUUAUUUUUAAAAUCACCUUGAAGCCAACUACAAAGUUCUCAGAGUUAAAAUGAAUGGCGAAGACUUAAAAGAAAGUGUAUGCAUUAAAAUGCUUUAAAUUCCAGUAAAACCUCCCCGAAAUUUUUAGAGCAGAUUGAGGACACCUAUGCAGACACACAUUACCUUCCUGCCAGUGCUGCGGAGUCUGAGAGCUGAGUUAUUAGGAGAGCUCUUUUGCUGGAUUUCAGACAAAUCACUUUAAUGUGCCAAAAUUGAUUUGGCAUGAAAUCAUCAAUAGCAUCCAGAAUACUAAUUGCAUUAAAGGCUGAGGCCAGGGCUGUCAGAUCUGCUUGGCUGAAGUUGGGCUCAUAAAUUAGUAGUUGGGCCUCCAAAUGAAAGCCUUCAGCCUCCAGCUGUGCCACAUCCACUGAUGUGGCUGGAGGGGCUCCAGGAGUUGACCCAGCAGUGCAAGCGCUCCCAGGGAUACUGGGGCAAGACAAAGCGUUUGUUUUAUGGCUUUGCUUUUCAGCUUCAAUAUCUAUGUACUGGCUUCAGAUGCUCUGAGUAAACACUCCAGGUAGUGGUCCAACGACUGUAGUUGUGAGGUUUUCUUUUUAAACAAAUGGACUUGGAUCUGGACUCUGAACCCUAUCUUUUUAUUUUCACUCAUUGAAAAUACACAGUCUGUGCACUAAGCAGGUACAGAGCUUCUCUCAGCCUCCCUUUCAACUUCCAUCAUGGCCUUGGGUGAAACUUCUCUCUGCCUCUCCUUUCUCAUUUGUAAGACAGCAGUGAUGAUGCUCAUCUUCAACACAUGCUGUGAACAUCCCUGAUUGUAUUCAGCUGCUUCCCCUGGCAUACAGAUUUACAGUAGGGGCUUUGGUAUGAAGGUAUGGAUAAAUUUGCUUCUUCUGCAUAGCUGUAUUUAUAAAACACUGUGGAAUUUAAGAGCAUGAAACAGCAUUUGGACUGGGUCUUUAGGCAAAAGAUGUACAUAUGCUGUCUCUAACAUUUAGGAACAAGAGCUUUGGGUGGCACAAAUCUGCUUUAACUUCAAUUGGAGGGAAUUUCCUUUGGAGAGACGUAUUGAUUCAGCUCAGCUAAAGUCCAGGCCCCUGCCUUUUCAGCAGCAACAUUUCCUAAAAUGAUUGGGAAAAGUAGAGUCUGGGAGGAGAUCUGCAGCCAAGCAACAACUCAAGGGAACUAAAACUGUCUUAGCUGAUUAACAGAAAUGAAAGCUGCUCAGAAACAAAUCUGAGCAUGAAUUUGGAGCACAAGAAUUAAUUGAGAGAAGGAGAUUCUCUUUGUACUUCUUUUAGUAGGUCAGACAGUUUAUCCACCAAGAUGCCUUUGAAGCUUCCAGCAAAAAAGGCAUCACUGGGAAGAUGAAACAAGCCAGUGAGUAAAGUCAACUGCUUGUCCUAAAACCCAUGAUCCCAACCAAAUUACUUGCACAGUGCAUAACACAAGCCUAAGCCAAAGAUGCUCCAUUAGCCUUCCCAAAAAAGAGAAUAGGAAAGCAGUUAUCUGUGGGAAGCAGGGAGCUGAAGGUAACAUGUAGACUUUAUCAGUGCUAAAAGAGGGGUGUAAUGCUGGAAAGUUGAAUUUCUGCUUCAUUCACUCAGUCACAUGAAGUGCUUCUGCUUUCAGUGCAGAAAACACCCAAGGAAUGAAUGCAAACAUGGCAAAUCCCCCCCUUCCUGAUGGCAUUCAGUUAAUGGCAGUGUGGGCAGGUGAAAGACAUGGUAACAGCAUAGUAACUUCGUAGAUGGAUAUUAAUGUAACCAUGAAGUCGGUGGGUACUGACAGUAGAAAAAAAAAUCUCAGAUUUUAAACUUGUCUGGUUUUAAUGCAAAAAAAAAAAGACAACAUAGGAUACAGAAGUGAAAUAGGUGUUAAGAUAUCACCAUCUUGUUCCUCCUCAUCAGAGAGGAAUUGUGGUCUGAUCAUGCCAUCCUCUGCCUCCAGCAUACACCCCUGAACCAACGGGGUCACAGAUCCUUUGCUGAGAAUGAACAAGGUGCAAGAACAGAGGAAAAGAUAAUAGUUGCAGCAUCUGACAAGUUUGGGGGGAGUAAAUUGUGAAAGCAAUACUUUUAGACCAGAUUUUCCCAUACCUAUAGCUCCAAAAUCAAUAAAGAGGCAUUCUGUCACGAUGCUGUAUUAUGUUGUAUUUAUUAUUUUUUCCAGCCUAAAGUGCUUUGUGUGCAAGAUUAAAAAGCUGCAAGUCUCAGGCCAUCUGGCCAACCAAAUGGAUUUAGUGCACAGGAUCACUGCCAGAUGUAUGCCAGUUGUAAGUUUAAUUUUUGAACAUACAAAGUGCCUGGGGCUCUGUGUCUGUUAUUCAGAGGAAAUCAUGUUCCAGUUUUCUAAAUGAAUCUAGAUACAGUUGGAUUCUAGGUGUAGAGGCUUUUCUCCUUCACGUGGCUUAAGGGCACAUUCUUUUCUUUUCAUAAAGAAAAAUGAUUGCAGUUGUAUUUUCCAUAUAUCUGAUAUGUUACAUAUGUUUGAUCACAUCUGUCUGACCCUAUGGAACAGGAGGAAACAUAGUAAGUUUUCUUUAAAGUUGUUGAAUUGAAAGGUAAAAUUUCACAGAGCCCUUCAGAUGAAUAGGCA